GCGACCCCAGGUCAGGCGGGAUUACCCGCUGAGUUUAAGC
rnacentral:rRNA from 2 species